CUUGACGGUCAUAGCGGUGGGGAAACACCCGGUCUCAUCUCGAACCCGGCAGUUAAGCCCACCUGCGUACUCCUCGGUACCAUGGUGCGCGAGCCCAUGGGAAGAUUACCCCUGUCAGAG
rnacentral:rRNA from 1 species